GACGAACGCUGGCGGCGUGCCUAAUACAUGCAAGUCGAGCGGACCGAACAGGAGCUUGCUCUUGUUCGGUUAGCGGCGGACGGGUGAGUAACACGUGGGUAACCUGCCCGUAAGACCGGGAUAACUCCGGGAAACCGGAGCUAAUACCGGAUAACACCGAAGACCGCAUGGUCUUUGGUUGAAAGGCGGCUUCGGCUGCCACUUACGGAUGGGCCCGCGGCGCAUUAGCUAGUUGGUGAGGUAACGGCUCACCAAGGCGACGAUGCGUAGCCGGCCUGAGAGGGUGACCGGCCACACUGGGACUGAGACACGGCCCAGACUCCUACGGGAGGCAGCAGUAGGGAAUCUUCCGCAAUGGACGAAAGUCUGACGGAGCGACGCCGCGUGAGCGAAGAAGGUCUUCGGAUCGUAAAGAUCUGUUGUUAGGGAAGAAGAAGCGUCGUUCGAACAGGGCGGCGCGGUGACGGUACCUAACGAGAAAGCCCCGGCUAACUACGUG
rnacentral:rRNA from 1 species